rnacentral:rRNA from 1 species
UGGGGAAUAUUGCACAAUGGGGGAAACCCUGAUGCAGCAACGCCGCGUGGAGGAAGAAACCCUUAGGGGCGUAAACUCCUUUUAUCAAGGAAGAAAAUGACGGUACUUGAUGAAUAAGCACCGGCUAACUCCGUGCCAGCAGCCGCGGUAAUA